GUUCAUCAGGUUUCCGGGUGCUGCUGCUACUCGUAGUAAUAGCGAGGCCGCCCUCGCCUGUUCACCUCACCUCACCUCUCCACAACAUUUGCCCCGCCAGCUCUAGCUGCACCGCGCUAAACUGCCUCUGCCGCCGCGCUCCGCCUCAUCGCCUGCAAACACAAGUCAUCGCCUCGUCUUCCUCGAGUCGCCGCAUGAGCCGCCGUCCGUAUUUCGCCUCGAG
rnacentral:lncRNA from 1 species